GCGGACGUAGCUCAGUUGGUAGAGCAUCUGCUUCCCAAGCAGAAGGUCGCCGGUUCGAGACCGGUCGUCCGCU
rnacentral:tRNA from 1 species